AUUGAACGCUGGCGGCAGGCUUAACACAUGCAAGUCGAGCGAGCGGCGGACGGGUGAGUAAUGUCUGGGAAACUGCCUGAUGGAGGGGGCUAACUACUGGAAACGGUAGCUAAUACCGCAUACCAUCAGAUGUGCCCAGAUGGGAUUAGCUAGUAGGUGGGGUAAUGGCGCACCUAGGCGACGAUCCCUAGCUGGUCUGAGAGGAUGACCAGCGACAGAGGAACGGAGACAGGGUCAAGACUCCGACGGGAGGCAGAAGUGGGGAAUAUUGGACAAUGGGCGCAAGCCUGAUGCAGCCAUGCCGCGUGUGGGAAGAAGGCCUUCGGGUUGUAAAGCACUUUCAGCGAGGAGGCGUUACUCGCAGAAGAAGCACCGGCUAACUCCGUGCCAGCCGCCGCGGUAAUAC
rnacentral:rRNA from 1 species